rnacentral:rRNA from 1 species
GACGUAGGGCGCGAGCGUUGUCCGGAUUUAUUGGGCGUAAAGAGCUCGUAGGCGGCUUGUUGCGUCGGCUGUGAAAACCCGGGGCUCAACUCCGGGCCUGCAGCCGAUACGGGCAGACUAGAGUUCGGCAGGGGAGACUGGAAUUCCUGGUGUAGCGGUGAAAUGCGCAGAUAUCAGGAGGAACACCGGUGGCGAAGGCGGGCCUCUGGGCCGAUACUGACGCUGAGGAGCGAAAGCGUGGGGAGCGAACAGG